CCGGCACGGGUGGAGUAACACGUAUCCAACCCGCCGUCUCUCUUUGGACAGCCUUCUGAAAGGAAGAUUAAUACAAGAUGGCAUCAUGAGUCCGCAUGUUCACAUGAUUAAAGGUAUUCCGGUAGACGAUGGGGAUGCGUUCCAUUAGAUAGUAGGCGGGGUAACGGCCCACCUAGUCUUCGAUGGAUAGGGGUUCUGAGAGGAAGGUCCCCCACAUUGGAACUGAGACACGGUCCAA
rnacentral:rRNA from 1 species